UGAACGCUAGCUACAGGCUUAACACAUGCAAGUCGAGGGGCAGCAUGAAGUCAGCUUGCUGACUUGAUGGCGACCGGCGCACGGGUGCGUAACACGUAUCCAAUCUACCCAUGGCCCGGGGAUAGCCUUUCGAAAGAAAGAUUAAUACCCGAUGGUUCGUUUUUUCGCAUGAGAAGAUGAAUAAAGAUUUAUCGGCGAUGGAUGAGGAUGCGUCCGAUUAGCUUGUUGGCGGGGUAACGGCCCACCAAGGCAACGAUCGGUAGGGGCUCUGAGAGGAGGAUCCCCCACAUUGGAACUGAGACACGGUCCAAACUCCUACGGGAGGCAGCAGUGAGGAAUAUUGGUCAAUGGGCGCGAGCCUGAACCAGCCAAGUAGCGUGAAGGGAUGACUGCCCUAUGGGUUGUAAACCUCUUUUGUUUGGGAAUAAAGUGAGCCACGUGUGGCUUUUUGUAUGUACCUUACGAAUAAGCAUCGGCUAAUUCCGUGCCAGCCGCUGC
rnacentral:rRNA from 1 species